AGUUUUUAAAAGCCUUUUUUAGUUUUCCAAUUUUUCAAAAUUUUUAAAGCCUUUUCUCUAUAAGAUAUGCAUCCGUUAAAUGUGAACGUACAUAUGGGUCCAGUAGAGCAUGAUGUAUUAAAAAUCCAAGUUUAUCAUCCUUCCGAAGGAAUUUGGAAUGAUAGCUUAAAAAAAGAGAAGUCUUGCUUAUAUACGUGUGGUGGUGAUAUUGAAUUUUGACAACAUAUAAAUAUCAUCCAUUACAUUCUCGCAUUCGUCAGUAUUUUGAAAAUUGUAGAUUUAAAGGAAUUUUUGAUGUAGGAUGUGUGCCGUAUGACUCCGAAUUAAUUUCUUCUUUAAUUGAAAGGUGGCGUCCAGAAACAUAUUGUUUUCACAUGCGAACUGGCGAGGCUACCAUAACUUUACAAGAUGUUGAAAUUUUAUUCGAAAUGGUAAUAGAUGGCAAUCCUAUAAUUUUAAAUGGAGCUUAUGCUUUAAGGAUUAUAGGUAGACAAGAAAUGAUGUUUAAAUUAACAGGAUGGUUACCCGAUAAUAGUUGUUUUUUCUGGUUUAGUAGAUUGUUAACAUAUAAGUUAAUUGAGUAUAUUGAAGGUUUGGAUGGUAUUAAUGAUCACUCAAAUGAGCAUGAAGUGCAACAAAGAUUUAGAUUAUAUUUAUUAGGUUAUGUGGUGGAUCAAUAUUUCCGGAUAAAUUUAAUAAUAAUGUUAAUUUGGACAUUUUGAUAGACAUGAGAAAUUUAGAUGUAAAGUCAACAUAAGCAUGGAGAGCAACCGCAUUAUCAUAUUUGUAUAAUUGCUUAUGUCGUGCAUCAAUGAAAAAAUCAAAUAAAGUUUGUGGAUUUCUCUCUUUA